UAGGGAGGGUGCAAGCGUUAUCCGGAAUCACUGGGUUUAAAGGGUGCGUAGGCGGCUUGGUAAGUCAGAGGUGAAAGCCCGCAGCUUAACUGCGGAACUGCCUUUGAUACUGCCGAGCUUGAAAGAGGUUGAGGUCAGCGGAACGUGACAUGUAGCGGUGAAAUGCAUAUAUAUGUCACAGAACACCAAUUGAGAAGGCAGCUGGCUGGGCCUACUUUGACGCUGAGGCACGAAAGCGUGGGGAGCUAACAGG
rnacentral:rRNA from 1 species